rnacentral:lncRNA from 1 species
UCCACUGCAGGCAGGGCCAUUACUACACAGCUGGCAACUGCUUGGAAUGCCCAACGGGCUCCUAGUCACUUCUGUGUGGACGGCCUUACAGUCACUCCUCCAUGCCCAGCAGGGAGUUUCAAGCCCAGAGAGGGACUUCACACAGCCAGCAGCAGUUUCUCAUGCUUUCCUGGAACUGGGUUGUGUUUGAAGUGCCCUGCUGGCUAUUUCUGUCCUGCUGGAGCAAAUGACCCAACGCCAUGCCAGCCAGGCACAUACAAUCCUCUCCAAGGACAGGACAAAGCCACUGACUGCAGAGCCUGUCCGGCAGGGAGAGCUUGCACUCAGGCUAGAUUAGUGCAGCCUGACUCGGAGUGCCUACCGGGGUUCGUGUGCCCAGAGGGGUCAUCCAGCCCUCAUUUUCCCAGCAACGCCUGUCCUCCAGGAACAGUUGGCAAUGACUUCAACCUCUUUGAUAAGUCCCAGUGUGAAACAUGCCCUGCUGGAUUUUUCUGUGUUAGAGAAACAGGGGGAAGACAGAAGCCUCCUGUUCCAUGCCCAGUUGGUCACUACUGCCCACCAGGCACAAAGCACUCAACGCAGCAGAAGUGUGCCCCAGGCACCUGGAGCAAUAGGAUGAGGCUGGCAUCAGAAGAUGAGUGCUUGCUGUGCCCUGCAGGCUGGUUUUGUGUAGGAGGAGUUCAUGUCCCUUCUGGCAUGUGCAGCUCAGGGCAUUACUGCCCUCAAGGUACAAGGAGAAGCACACAGUACCCCUGCCCUGCUGGAACUUACAGUACCAGGCUGGGAAAUGGCAGAGUGGAAGACUGUGCAGCCUGCCCUGCAGGGGCUUUCUGCACCAGGGGAACCUCCAAGCCAGUUCUUUGCCCAGUAGGAACCUAUUGCAUGGAACAUGGUGCAAAAGUGGCUGCAGAUUGUGUCCCUUGUCCUGGAGGGUACUACUGCCCUGAGCUUGGCACUGUUACUCCUCGAACAUGUGGUGCUGGCAACUUUUCAGGCUUGCCUGCUAAACCUUGCCCCAGUGGGACCUAUGGUGAGCAGAAGGGACUAAGCAGUGCUGAGGAAUGCUUGCUGUGCCCUGCAGGGAAGCACUGCUACAGAGCUGGGAUGGAGCCUCCUGGAAUUCCCCACCCUGUAAGCACAGCCCAGCUUCUCCCAACCUUUCUUUUCCAGAGGCUGCAGCUCUAA